CGUGUAGGCUGCUCGGAAAGUCGGAUGUGAAAGCCCUGGGCUCAACCCAGGAAGUGCACUCGAAACUCCCGAGCUGGAGUCCUGGAGAGGAAGGCGGAAUUCUCGGUGUAGAGGUGAAAUUCGUAGAUAUCGAGAGGAACAUCGGUGGCGAAGGCGGCCUUCUGGACAGUGACUGACGCUGAGACGCGAAAGCGUGGGGAGCAAACA
rnacentral:rRNA from 1 species